rnacentral:rRNA from 1 species
UACGGGGGGGGCAAGCGUUGUUCGGAAUUACUGGGCGUAAAGGGCUCGUAGGUGGCCAACUAAGUCAGACGUGAAAUCCCUCGGCUUAACCGGGGAACUGCGUCUGAUACUGGAUGGCUUGAGAUUGGGAGAGGGAUGCGGAAUUCCAGGUGUAGCGGUGAAAUGCGUAGAUAUCUGGAGGAACACCGGUGGCGAAGGCGGCAUCCUGGACCAACACUGACACUGAGGAGCGAAAGCGUGGGGAGCAAACAGG